rnacentral:rRNA from 1 species
AAAACGACUCUCGGCAACGGAUAUCUCGGCUCUCGCAUCGAUGAAGAACGUAGCGAAAUGCGAUACUUGGUGUGAAUUGCAGAAUCCCGUGAACCAUCGAGUUUUUGAACGCAAGUUGCGCCCAAAGCCNUUAGGCUAAGGGCACGUCUGCCUGGGCGUCACGCAUCGCGUCGCCC